rnacentral:rRNA from 1 species
UACGUAGGGGGCAAGCGUUGUCCGGAAUCAUUGGGCGUAAAGAGCGUGUAGGCGGCCCGAUAAGUCCGCUGUGAAAGUCCAGGGCUCAACCCUGGGAUGCCGGUGGAUACUGUCGGGCUCGAGUCCGGAAGAGGAGUGUGGAAUUCCUGGUGUAGCGGUGAAAUGCGCAGAUAUCAGGAGGAACACCGGUGGCGAAGGCGGGUCUCUGGGCCGAUACUGACGCUGAGGAGCGAAAGCAUGGGGAGCGAACAGG